GUUGAACGCUGACAGAAUGCUUAACACAUGCAAGUCUACUUGAUUCUACUUCGGUAGUUGAUGGUGGCGGACGGGUGAGUAACGCGUAAAGAAUCUGCCCUUUAGUUUGGGAUAACCUUUGGAAACGAAGGCUAAUACCGGAUAUUAUGGAGACGUCGCAUGGCGACUCCAUGAAAGCUAUAUGCGCUAGAGGAGGACUUUGCGUCCCAUUAGUUAGUUGGUGAGGUAAUGGCUCACCAAGACCGCGAUGGGUAGCCGACCUGAGAGGGUGAUAGGCCACAAGGGCACUGGGACACGGUCCGUACUCCUACGGGAGGCAGCAGUGGGGAAUAUUAGACAAUGGGCCACAAGCCUGAUCCAGCAAUUCUGUGUGCACGAUGAGGGUCUUCGGAUUGUAAAGUGCUUUCAGUAGGGAAGAAAAAAAUGACGGUACCUACAGAAGAAGCGACGGCUAAAUAUGUGCCAGCCGCCGCAGUAA
rnacentral:rRNA from 1 species